GUGGGGAGCCGAGGAAGGAAAGGCGCUUACCAGGCCACCUCCGCAGUUUUCCUCCAGGUGCUGUAAACGUACCUUUGCGAAUCUUACUACUCUCUUUGGGGAAAACAGCAUUUCACGAGGUCAAAAUGAGGCCACGAGAAGCGCGCUUCGCUCGCGAGCGUGACGCUCUCAUCCGCACCCGCACGCUCGUUUUGAUUGCUGCCCGCUGAGCCCCGCUCACCGCGCACAGCUGCACCAGCCCUGCCGACCCGUGCGUUCUCGGUUUCCGCUGCGGAAGUUGUAAAGCAAGUCGAAAGUCACGGAAGAACUUACCUGAAACGAUCCCAUUCGACAGGACCCCCAGCUGGUAAAGGAGGCAGCAACAGCAGAUGAGUUUCCGGAGCCCCACAGGACAGCCCCACCGUCAGCGGAGAGCCGGCAGGGGCAGGGCGGGCAGUGCUGCCUCGGGACAGGCG